rnacentral:lncRNA from 1 species
AACUGACUCACAACACUCACAGAAAAGGAAAUGUCAGGUGUUGUCACUGUAAGGUAAUUUAUUUUACUAACCAACCGUCUAUAUCUUGCAGGAUCACUAAGAGGCUCCCCAUAUUCCAAUGACUAUCACACGGAGAACCCAUAAACUGUCUCACAACACUCACACAAAAGGAAAUUUCAGGUCUUGUCACUGUAAGAUAAUUUAAUUUUCCAACUAACCGCCUAUAUCUUGCAGGAUCGUUAAGAGGCUCCCCAUGUCCUGGAAGAAGUUUAGAAUUCGGAUCCAUUGGAGUGUCAACAGGUUUACAACCUGUCAUUCCUGUCUCCUCAAGAAUAUCUAAGGCAUACUUCCGUUAUGAGAUCACAAUACCUGAGCUAGACUGAGCGACCUCAAUACCCAGAAAAUACUUUAUUGUGCCCAGAUCCUUAGUCUGAAAGUGUUGAAAGAGAUUUUGAUUCAAUUUAGUAAUACCAUCCUGGUCAUUACCGGUAAUAACAAUGUCGUCAACAUAGACCACCAGAUA